rnacentral:tRNA from 1 species
AGCCCUGAGGUGUUAGACAUGCUAGAUUGCAAAUCUUGAGUUGCAGCGUAACUUCUGCCGGGGCUU